AUGAACAGCGACACCUACAGCUUCAUUGGGUGCUCAGAGCCACUCAUCGAGACCCAUAGACUUAUGGAUGUUAGGCUUACGGACUUGCAAGCUUAUGGAAUUUCCGCUCCAAUUUUUGCUUGUGGAGUACAACUUGACUUGCAUUCCAAGAUUGCUUGGAGGCAGCAGAUGGUGACCUCCCAGCCCUGCCGGGUUCGGCUCAGCUGAGGCAGCGGGUGGAGGAUCGUUCGCCGCUCGGAGGCUGAGGAUGGAUGCCGCGCUGCCGACCAGCAGAGGGGGCUUUGGCACAAGGGAGGCGAACAGCGGCGGCUCCCGACGUCAAGGAGUGAGUCUGCCCGGGAUCCACUUCAAGCACUCGGUAAGUAAACGCGGUGACGGGUUCCUUGCAUUCAGUGUAUGAUGAGGGAGGCAUCUGGCGUUUCUCGAGGCAACUGAUGCAGAGUUGUUAUGUCUGAAAACAAAGCCUUCCCUCUUUGCCUCUCCACUUUCCUAAUAUGAGGAUGUUUCUGUAAGUGCUAUUAAGGCACUGUCUUGGUGGAAGUAAUAAUUUAAAGCCUCAAAAGGUGUUUGGAUUGAAUUUGCAUGACACCUGGAUCUGACCCUCUGUAACACAGAAUAAGCUUCAGUUAUCACUCUGAAAUACCUUGUUUGAUUCUCUGAGUUAGUUGUCUAUGUAUGGAGAACUAAAGCUCUCAAAUGGAAUUUGGUCAUUUGCGCAAGCUGAUUCAUUUGUGCAGUGAUGAAGAGCAGCUUACAGCUGUGCUUUGCCUGCUCACACCCUGCUCCUUGCAGCUGGUCCCACUUGUGCAGGCACGUUGUCCCCUCAGGUUUCACUUUUAUGUCCCCAGAACAUGUGCCAGAUUUGCAAAUGCUAAAACCUGAGCUCUAGAGCAGUUCUGCCUGCCCCUCUGCUCACGCAGCCUCCAUGCAGAGCCAAGGGCAGGCUCCCCCCUACUGAGUCUGGGCUGUAGUCCAUGGGUAGGUACAUUAAAAACCGAGGUGUUCUGUUGCAUGCAGAGUUACAACAAAAAAUAUCUAUCUUCAGAUAUUCCCAGCAUGAUCCAAGCCUAGGUACAGUAUGAGAAACGACAGCUCAGUUAAGAUUCAAGUGGCUUCAAGUUGUUCCAAGGGAA
rnacentral:lncRNA from 1 species